rnacentral:rRNA from 1 species
AUUGAACGCUGGCGGCAUGCCUUACACAUGCAAGUCGAACGGCAGCACGGGAGCAAUCCUGGUGGCGAGUGGCGAACGGGUGAGUAAUAUAUCGGAACGUGCCCAGUCGUGGGGAUAACGUAGCGAAAGCUACGCUAAUACCGCAUACGAUCUAUGGAUGAAAGCGGGGGAUCGCAAGACCUCGCGCCGAUUGGAGCGGCCGAUAUCAGAUUAGGUAGUUGGUGAGGUAAAGGCUCACCAAGCCGACGAUCUGUAGCUGGUCUGAGAGGACGACCAGCCACACUGGGACUGAGACA